GUGUAACGUACACAAUGGUGUAACCCCCACCGAAUAAAAAAGACAAGCAAACCUAGACAGGACUGAAAACCUCUUUUCGUUGCUUAUCGCUGCACCGUUGUUUUUCAAAGACAAAAUCAUGCAUUGCAUAUGAUUUAAAAUUGAUAUUGACGCGAAAAAAUAGUUAGGGUAUUCACAAGGUGUCAUAGUGUAUCAUAUCGUCAUAUCGUCAUAUUGUCAUAUUUUUUAUGACUGUCAUACCAACACUGUUGCUGUUUCACAUGCAAAAUUAAAAUAUGACUGAUACAACACUGCGUGGUAUGUUUCUUGAGUUCGCUAUUCUAUCAGCUGUAUUUGUUUACUUUCUUAUUAUUGGCGUUUAAUUGUUUGAAAUUAAUAAAUUUAAUAAAUUUCGUUAUUAAUAUGGAAGGAAACCACGAUAUUCAGUGUAAAACAAAACGCCGCCGUUUCAACCCGGUACAUAAGUGGAAUGCGGCAGAAGAAAAAGCGCUUGUGUAGUUGCUAAUGGAAAAUAGAAGUUUCGAGAAACCAACGGCUCAAAGCUUUUAUGGUCGUUUCAUCGAAGACACGCAGCUGACGGUAGGAUGGAAAGUAGUGCGCGCAAAAGUACGCAAUAUGCGCACUAAUUAUAACAAAGCAAAGGGGUGGGAAGGGUCGACAGGCACAGGAAGUAUGGAAGGCGACACAAAUAAAAAGUAAAUUAUUUUAAGGAAAUCUCUUUUUUUUUUUAAUUGUGGCCAUUAUUUUUUUUUUAUUUGAAAUUGAAAAAAUUAAAUUACAAAUGCAGGAGAGGUUGGCAAUGGAAGAGCUUAGGCUAAAAUAUAAAUAAUUUUACAAUGCACUACAUUUUUAGUUCACUUUUGUUAUGAAUUUAUUUUUAUUAUUAUGUGUUUUUUUAUGUUUUAAAUGAAGUUUUUAUGUAUAAGUUUUGUUGUGA